GAGUGUGUAGCUCAAUGGUUAGAGCGCAAAAUUGAUAAUUUUGAGGUUGUAGGUUCAAUUCCUUCCAUACUCA
rnacentral:tRNA from 1 species